rnacentral:rRNA from 1 species
UACGGGGGGGGCAAGCGUUGUUCGGAAUUACUGGGCGUAAAGGGCGCGUAGGCGGCCUUCUAAGUCGGACGUGAAAUCCCUCGGCUUAACCGAGGAACUGCGUCCGAUACUGAAAGGCUUGAAUCCGGGAGAGGAUGUGGAAUUCCAGGUGUAGCGGUGGAAUGCGUAGAGAUCCGGAAGAACACCGGUGGCGAAGGCGGCCUGCUGGGCAGUUGCUGACACUGAGGCGCGAAAGCGUGGGGAGCAAACAGG